UACGGUGAAUACGUUCCCGGACCUUGUACACACCGCCCGUCAAGCCAUGGAGGCCGGGUGUACCUAAAGUCGAUAACCGUAAGGAGUCGCCUAGGGUAAAACUGGUGACUGGGGCU
rnacentral:rRNA from 1 species